AUACUCAACCUGGUGGCGGAAGAUACAUUGUUCAUGAAGGAAGUUUUCCCAUCUAUUGCACUUUGGUGUGCUGGCCCCUGCAGUUUCCUCAAAUGUGGGGAAACUUUAUGGCAGUGGGGGAUUGUGUUUUUGUUUUCCCCUG